UCACGAUGGUGGAACUGUACCGGCUCAAAUCAGGCUUCGCUGGAUUUGGACCGCCCCGGCAGCAUCCACCAGCCCCGGCCCAGGACUACUGGAGGUGGAGAAUAACCCAGAUGCAACGUGACAACCAUUGAUGGAUUGUGGCUGACCAUAGACUGGAGAUUUGAUUUAAGGUGAAGAGAGCAGUGAUGAGGAGAAACUGGCACAGGUAUAUAUAUCUGCCAAAAAAUAAAUGUCAUUUCAGCUGACUUUAAUAGAAGUGGAAGGCUCGGCUCCUCUCCCUCUGCUGCUUACACGCGCAUGGCUCUUUCAUGUAGACCAGGGAAAAGCCUUCCUUGACAAGCGUACAUGCCUGUGGUUUUGCAGCUCUCUUUCCUAACAUACUCCAUUAUGGUGAAAUUGUGUUUUCAUGUAUGUCUUUGUGCUCCCACCCCUACCAAAAUCCUGUGGGCCCUUUGAGCACAGGAACCUUUCUCUGCGUAUCUUUGGAUCUGGAAACUGAGAUCUAAGUAUUAACGUGGGGACCAGGGAAAGAGAAAGGGGAGGAAAAUAAAUUCCUUUGGUUGUCACAGGGAUAAUAGGUACAUACUCGAGUCCUUGCUUGAUUUCUUUCUCACCCUGGGAGAUGAGGCUGAGAUGCCCAAUGUGCAAACGGCAGAACCACUGCACAGCUGGGGUAGAUAAGGAAAGACCUCUGACCUCUUUAGAGCCAUUCAGCUCAGGCCCGGCACUCAUCUGAGCAUCCGUCCUCCCUGCCCUUUUCCUGGAUUUCCUGUUUUUCUACUCCCUUUCUUAUUUCUAUUGCCAUGUUAGGGAUUGAGUCCAGAACCUCACACAUGCUUCGCAAGUGAGCUACGUCUCCAGCCCCCCACUCCAUUCUACCACAAUAUCUGAGUUCUCAUCUCUUAGUAAAGCCACAAAAAAAUUAUCUUGUGGGCAAUGAUUAGGAAAGCAAGAGAGCCAUCUCCAAACUUAAAGUCAGAAUUCGGAAGCCCAAGUGAUCACUGUGUCAUGUGCAUUAGUCAAUUUGUGGGUGGCCACGUGGGGGGGGGUGGAGGGGGACAGCUGGUGGCAGUUGAAGUUCAAGGUGUCAGCCCAUCAGGAGGAAACUCUCUGGGUUAGGGAAGGCCCCCAGAUCACAGACCCUGACUGUCCUUUGCUCCUGCUGUGCCUGCCUUGACAUGCUUGCUGCUGCUGUCUUUCUCUGGUAUCUGGCAUGGUGUGAAUGUGGGGGGGAGGGGCACACACUGCCUGUAAUUUAGUGCGUUUAUCUCAUGGAAACAUCCCAUUCUACCAGGCAUUUUGACCUUACUAUGAAGAUGAUUCCUUCCUAAGCUGUACUGGCUAAUUGAUAAUAAGUAUGUUAAUUUAAAUAGAAUUUUUAUGAUAAAAAAAUAAAACGAGGUGUCACACAA